AUUGAACGCUGGCGGAAUGCUUUACACAUGCAAGUCGAACGGCAGCACGGGGGCAACCCUGGUGGCGAGUGGCGAACGGGUGAGUAAUACAUCGAAACGUGCCCAGUCGUGGGGGAUAACGCAGCGAAAGCUGCGCUAAUACCGCAUACGAUCUAUGGAUGAAAGCGGGGGACCGUAAGGCCUCACGCGAUUGGAGCGGCCGAUGGCAGAUUAGGUAGUUGGUGGGGUAAAGGCUCACCAAGCCGACGAUCUGUAGCUGGGCUGAGAGGAGGACCAGCCACACUGGGACUGAGACACGGCCCAGACUCCUACGGGAGGCAGCAGUGGGGAAUUUUGGACAAUGGGCGCAAGCCUGAUCCAGCCAUUCCGCGUGCAGGAUGAAGGCCCUCGGGUUGUAAACUGCUUUUGUACGGAACGAAAAGCCUUCUUCUAAUACAGGAGGGUCAUGACGGUACCGUAAGAAUAAGCACCGGCUAACUACGUGCCAGCCGCCGCAGUAA
rnacentral:rRNA from 1 species